UACGUAGGGGGCAAGCGUUGUCCGGAAUUAUUGGGCGUAAAGAGCUCGUAGGCGGCUUGUUGCGUCGGCUGUGAAAUCCCGAGGCUCAACCUCGGGUCUGCAGUCGAUACGAGCAAACUAGAGUGUUGCAGGGGAGACUGGAAUUCCUGGUGUAGCGGUGAAAUGCGCAGAUAUCAGGAGGAACACCGGUGGCGAAGGCGGGUCUCUGGGCAACAACUGACGCUGAGGUGCGAAAGCGUGGGGAGCGAACAGG
rnacentral:rRNA from 1 species